rnacentral:rRNA from 1 species
AGAGUUUGAUCCUGGCUCAGAUUGAACGCUGGCGGCAUGCCUUACACAUGCAAGUCGAACGGCAGCAUAGGAGCUUGCUCCUGAUGGCGAGUGGCGAACGGGUGAGUAAUAUAUCGGAACGUGCCCUAGAGUGGGGGAUAACUAGUCGAAAGACUAGCUAAUACCGCAUACGAUCUACGGAUGAAAGUGGGGGAUCGCAAGACCUCAUGCUCCUGGAGCGGCCGAUAUCUGAUUAGCUAGUUGGUGGGGUAAAAGCUCACCAAGGCGACGAUCAGUAGCUGGUCUGAGAGGACGACCAGCCACACUGGGACUGAGACACGGCCCAGACUCCUACGGGAGGCAGCAGUGGGGAAUUUUGGACAAUGGGGGCAACCCUGAUCCAGCAAUGCCGCGUGAGUGAAGAAGGCCUUCGGGUUGUAAAGCUCUUUUGUCAGGGAAGAAACGGUUCUGGAUAAUACCUGGAGCUAAUGACGGUACCUGAAGAAUAAGCACCGGCUAACUACGUGCCAGCAGCCGCGGUAAUUC